rnacentral:rRNA from 1 species
GAAACCAACAGGGAUUGCCCCAGUAACGGCGAGUGAAGCGGCAAGAGCUCAAAUUUGAAAUCUGGCCUCCUUCGGGGGUCCGAGUUGUAAUUUGUAGAGGAUGCUUCGGGUGUGGCCGCCGUCUAAGUUCCUUGGAACAGGACGUCAGAGAGGGUGAGAAUCCCGUCUUGGGCGGCUGGUCCGCGCCCGUGUGAAGCUCCUUCGACGAGUCGAGUUGUUUGGGAAUGCAGCUCUAAGCGGGUGGUAAAUUUCAUCUAAAGCUAAAUACUGGUCGGAGACCGAUAGCGCACAAGUAGAGUGAUCGAAAGGUUAAAAGCACCUUGAAAAGGGAGUUAAACAGCACGUGAAAUUGUUGAAAGGGAAGCGCUUGCGGCCAGACUCGGGGGCGGGGUUCAGCGGGUGCUCGUCGCCCGUGCACUCCCCGUCUCCCGGGCCAGCAUCAGUUUCGACGGCCGGUCAAAGGCCCCCGGAAUGUGUCGUCUCUCGGGACGUCUUAUAGCCGGGGGUGCAAUGCGGCCCGUUGGGACUGAGGAACGCGCUCCGGCUCGGAUGCUGGCGUAAUGGCCGUAAGCGGCCCGUCUUGAAACACGGACCAAG